GACGAACGCUGGCGGCGUGCUUAACACAUGCAAGUCGAACGGAAAGGCCCUGCUUUUGUGGGGUGCUCGAGUGGCGAACGGGUGAGUAACGCGUGAGUAACCUGCCCUUGACUUUGGGAUAACUUCAGGAAGCUGGGGCUAAUACCGGAUAGGAGCUCCUGCUGCAUGGUGGGGGGUGGAAAGUUUCGGCGGGUGGGGAUGGACUCGCGGCUUAUCAGCUUGUUGGUGGGGUAGUGGCUUACCAAGGCUUUGACGGGUAGCCGGCCUGAGAGGGUGACCGGCCAGAUUGGGACUGAGAUACGGCCCAGACUCCUACGGGAGGCAGCAGUGGGGAAUAUUGCACAAUGGGCGGAAGCCUGAUGCAGCAACGCCGCGUGCGGGAUGACGGCCUUCGGGUUGUAAACCGCUUUCGCCUGUGACGAAGCGUGAGUGACGGUAAUGGGUAAAGAAGCACCGGCUAACUACGUG
rnacentral:rRNA from 1 species